rnacentral:lncRNA from 1 species
CUGUGAAAACUAACUCGAUUGCGGUCAUUUCGGUAUCAGUUUGGUGAAUUAAGGAUCUAAAUGGAAUUCUGUGCGAUGUUUUGAAGUUGUGACUCGAAAGCAGAUUUUGUGUAGAAUUUUGGGGGCAUACCUUCACUAAAACGGUAAUUAAUGUCUCUUUAUAACUCCAAAUUUAGUGGGGUUUGAUUCUGUGGAAAGAUAACCUGAUUAUGGUAAUUUAGGUAUACGUUUGGUGAAUUAUUGAUCCAAAUUGACUUGUGUGAGAAGCUUUUAAGUUGUGACUCGAAAGCAGAAUUUUAGGUGGGGCAAAAUUCCGAUUUAAUCAAAAAAGGAGGGGUAAAACUGAAUUUAAGCAAAAAAAAGAAUAUUAAUUUCUUAAAUGAUGGCUUGAAAUUAUUUUAACAUAAAAUAGAGAUUUAAAGUUAAUUUUUAUCAAAAAAUAUUUAAUUUUACUAAAAUGGACCAAAGUAUAUAUAUUUUAAUACAAGACAGGAGAAAAAUGUUAUUCAAACUUCUUUGAAAACACGGGAGUAUAUAAUUUACUAAAAUAAAUAUAAGUGUGACAAAUCAUAAGAGCAACAAGAUAAUAAUUUGGUAAAUUACAGGUAUCAUCCGUGCGUAACUGCGGAAACUAAUCCAUCGAGAUAGCAUCAACAUAAUUUUAUUUUUAUUUUAAUUAAAUUUUACUGCU